UAUCAACUCACUUGUUGGUCGCCUUGA
rnacentral:piRNA from 1 species